rnacentral:ncRNA from 1 species
GAAAGUCCCGAGUAAUUUCCUUUCAGUGCGUUGGUACAGUACUCGAGCAAAAUGUCGUCGAAGGCACUUCGGUGGAAGUUCUAAUGGUGUGAACGUGUAAAUCUUUUGUCACAGUAGUGCACAGGGGAGGAAGACUAAUCGAACAUUUAGAAGCCUGUUCUGUCAGGAGUUUCUCUGAGGAUAACUGGAACCAGAAGGACCAGGUUUACGAGCAAGGUUGAUGACUAAAAGUAUUAAACUGAACAUGGUUGAACUCUGGAUUAUUUGAUGCGUAGCUUUGGUUAACGAAGUUCUAAUAAGGAAACGUCGUUGGCUAGUGAGUCAAGUUUCGUCAGCAGAACUGAAGAUUUAUGAUGAAUCAAAUCGUGGGCUAAAGCGAGCGACCGAACGAUGCAGAAACAGGGACGGUGAAAAGUCUUACUUGAUACAGACAGCGGGAUGGUAUGCGUGGAACUUGAAAUUCACUAAGAUGUUUGACGACUCGCCUGCUAAAUUAGCUGGCUCUGAAAAUAGAUGGCGUUUGAACUUUUAGCUUAUACUCGACCGGAGGUCUUCGUUGUAAUAGCGAAUAUUAAAGAAAUAACCUCGAAAGUAAAAGUAGGAUAUACUGCAACCAGUCUGGCGUGAAGGACUGCACUAAGAGCAAGUUUCAGUGCUUCGGCAAGCGGCGUCUUUUGGGUC